rnacentral:rRNA from 1 species
GACAGAGGGUGCAAACGUUGUUCGGAAUUACUGGGCGUAAAGCGUGUGUAGGCGGUCUUGUAAGUCGGGUGUGAAAGCCCCGGGCUCAACCCGGGAAGUGCACUCGAAACUGCGAGGCUAGAGUAUCGGAGAGGUUGGUGGAAUUCUCGGUGUAGAGGUGAAAUUCGUAGAUAUCGAGAGGAACACCGGUGGCGAAGGCGGCCAACUGGACGAAUACUGACGCUGAGACACGAAAGCGUGGGGAGCAAACAGG